CAUAGCGACUAUCGUGGCAUAUCAAUAAGCGGAGGAAAAGAAACUAACAAGGAUUCCCUUAGUAACGGCGAGUGAAGCGGGAAGAGCUCAAAUUUGAAAUCUUCAAGGUUCUACCUUGACGAAUUGUAGUUUAAAGAAGUGUUUUCUGUUGGAGUUUUGGUAAAAGUUCUUUGGAAUAGGACAUCAUAGAGGGUGAGAAUCCCGUAUUUGACCAUUAUUUCCAACUUUGUGAUACACUUUCAAAGAGUCGGAUUGUUUGGGAAUGCAGUCCAAAAUGGGUGGUAAAUUUCAUCUAAAGCUAAUAUUGGCGAGAGACCGAUAGCGAACAAGUACCGUGAGGGAAAGAUGAAAAGAACUUUGAAAAGAGAGUUAAACAGUACGUGAAAUUGUCAAAAGGGAAGCGUUUGACACCAGUGUUGUUUUCUCGAAAAUCAAUUAAAAAUGGCCGGAUUUUGUGUUGUAUUGACUUUAUCAGCUUUCUGCACUUUUUUCUUGUCUUUUUUAAUGCACUUUUCGUUUAACAAGUCAACAUCAAUUUCUUUUGUUGUAAAAGAGUCAUUGGAAGGUGGCUUUCAUUUCGGUGAAAGUGUUUAUAGCCUUUGACUUCUGCAAUCGGAGAGAUUGAGGUCUGCAGCGUAGAUCCUUCGGGGUUAGAUACAUUUGUGCUAAGUUAUAGUUUUUCAUAGACAACAUGUUGACUAUGAUUAAUCAUGUAGCUUACUCGCUUAUGCUAUUUUACCUACGCUUAGGAUGUUGACGAGACUGUCGAUCUC
rnacentral:rRNA from 1 species